rnacentral:rRNA from 1 species
CGCCUUUUGUAAAACAUAAAAGGUCCAGCCUGCCCAGUGAUUUUUAAACGGCCGCGGUACCCUAACCGUGCUAAGGUAGCACAAUUACUUGUCUUUUAAAUGAAGACUAGAAUGAAUGUCAUCACGAGGGUUAAACUGUCUCCUCCCCCCAAUCAGUGAAACUGACCUCCCCGUUGAAAAGGCGGGGAUUAAAAUAUUAGACGAGAAGACCCCCAUGGAACUUUAGACACUGAGCAAAUCUAGACCUUAUUCUCCCAACCCCUGAUUCUUGCCUCUUAGUCUUCGGUUGGGGCGACCACGGAGCAAAAAUCAACCUCCAUGAUGAAUGAACAUUUCUUAUCCAAGAGAUACAUCUCAAAGAAACAGAACACUGACAUUCUGAUCCGAACUUUCGAUCAACGAAACAAGCUACCCUGGGGAUAACAGCGCAAUCUGCCUCAAAAGUCCAUAUUGACAGACAGGUUACGACCUGAUGUUGGAUCGGGAUAUCCUAGUGGUGCAGCCGCUACAUAAGGUUCGUUGUUCAACGAUUAAAAUCC